rnacentral:rRNA from 1 species
GACGAACCGUGCGAACGUUGUUCGGAUUCACUGGGCGUAAAGGGCGCGUAGGCGGCCUGGUAAGUAGGGGGUGAAAUCCUGCGGCUUAACCGCAGGGCUGCCUUCUAAACUGUCAGGCUUGAGCACAGUAGAGGCAGGUGGAAUUCCCGGGUGUAGCGGUGGAAUGCGUAGAUAUCUGGAGGAACACCGGUGGCGAAGGCGGCAUCCUGGACCGGCAUUGACGCUGAGGCGCGGAAAGCCAGGGGAGGCAAAACGGGG